CGUGUCUUUUGCUCUGCAGUCAGUAAAUAUUUUUUUGUGAAUGUGUAGCAAAAGACAGAAU
rnacentral:pre_miRNA from 1 species